GGAAUCUUGUGCAAUGGACGAAAGUCUGACACAGCCACGCCGCGUGCGGGAAGAAGGCCUUCGGGUUGUAAACCGCUUUCAGCAGGAACGAAGAUGACGGUACCUGCAGAAGAAGGAGCGGCCAACUACGUGCCAGCAGCCGCGGUGACACGUAGGCUCCAAGCGUUGUCCGGAUUUAUUGGGUGUAAAGAGCUCGUAGGCGGUUCAGCAAGUCGGGUGUGAAAACUCUGGGCUCAACCCAGAGCCUGUACCCGAAACUGCUGUGACUAGAGUUCGGUAGGGGAGUGGGGAAUUCCUAGUGUAGCGGUGAAAUGCGCAGAUAUUAGGAGGAACACCGAUGGCGAAGGCACCACUCUGGGCCGAAACUGACGCUGAGGAGCGAAAGCGUGGGUAGCAAACAGGAUUAGAUACCCUGGUAGUCCACGCCGUAAACGAUGGGCACUAGGUGUGGGUCUCUAACCAACGAGAUCCGCGCCGUCGCUAACGCAUUAAGUGCCCCGCCUGGGGAGUACGGUCGCAAGACUAAAACUCAAAGGAAUUGACGG
rnacentral:rRNA from 1 species